UUGUGGUUCUUCUAGCAUUUUAUUUUCCUCAAGCCAACAAAUCAAUAGUACACUUGCCGCGGCUGCUGCAGUCAUGACAAUUAGGUCAAAUCGGAAUCUGAAUCCGACAUGUUUAAGGUGGAGGGGGAGAUACCUCUCUGCUGGAGCUGGAAGGGAGAGAGAGAGAGAGAGAGAGGGAGGGAGGGAGACGCUGCUAUAUAGAGCUCUUGGCCAGCUACCGGCUUCAUUACUUUCGUCAGAGCAUCAAGGCCACCGACCGGCUGGUGGUUCCUUAAAUGUCUGCCUCAGUUUCUUCGGAAGAGCAUCAAGAGCCUUCAUUGCAUCUCUGACCCGGUAGGUCAUCCUUCAAUGCGUGCAGCUUCGUUUCCCCAAACACCACCUGUAAGUAACUUACAGGUCGACAAUACCUAGGGAAACAAUUUGAAGGACGAUGGCCUUGACACUGUUUCCAAUCAUGUGGUCUACCCAAACACAAGAAACUUUUUACCUGGUAAAGAUUUUACCGCUACCUGAACAUGUCCAGAUAAAACAAUUUACCUGUGGAAAUGUUUACCUGUAACAUAAGGGGGAUUUUUACCUGCAUCUGAAUGACCCCUUAAUGUGUCCAUUGAAAUUCAUGCUUUGAUAUUUUGAUCGAUGAAAAGUAAAAGAAUCAAGCUUUGUUAUUUGCAGAACAUUUAUACAGCUUUGUUGUCCUUUUAUGUAUUAAAAUGGAUGCAUCUUUUCAUAUUUCGUACUUGAAUUAUAGAGAAAGUAUAUGAUCCUCAACCUGAGGAUAUGCACGGUUUGCACGACUAGAGUCAUAGUUUGGAGAUCCAGACUGUCGAUUUGAUGAACCUGUUUGAUGUACGAUGCCCCAUUAAUCUAUUGAUGGGGGCAAUCUUAACCCUUUGAGUUGGUCACUAGAACCUAUGUAUAUAAGAAAAGAAACACAUCAAUGGUCCACAUUCACUGAAUAACUGCCAAAGAUUGGAUGGCCCGGACCUUCCAACUUGGGAGCUUUCUGAAGCAUGGUCCAUCCACAAUGGGGCACUUUAGAUCAAGGUCUGACCUGUACAAACUAAAAAUGCAAGAUUGCUUACUUCCUCUGGGUAAAUAAUGUACCUUUUCAUAUCAUCAUAUGACACAUUGGAUUUCUAAUGCGGUCCCGGCAGGUCCCCAGGCGCACAAGUUUUGAUCGACAACAACCCACGGUAUGUUAUUGGAUGUGGAUGUGCGGAAGUCGGUUUUAGAGUUCUACUCUAAAAGAUGGUUCGGAUGGGUGGGCACACAGGAUCCGAUGGUCUACAUGAUCUUGGGACCUUUGCAAAGCUGAAGAUGUAACGUGAACAUCCAGUGAUCUGCCUAACUAUUACACAGAGAGAUAAAAACAGGGAAACUAGUGUGGGCCCCAUGGGCCAAUGUCUAAUGUACUCUUCGACUACUACUCCCAUCCUUGGUGCAAGACUGGCUCUGUGACCCUGCCCCCUCUGGCGACCAAAGUUCAUAACUGGCAAGAAGUAGAACAGCAGUCUCAUGGACGGUAUCAUAGAUCCCCAAAAUGGGUUCUUCUGAAGCUGGUUAUCCAUGCAAGAAUGAUUGCUACACAUGCAAAUGAGAGGUGGGAGUCUGAAAUAUUGACUGCUGCUUCUUGAAAGGAAAUGGAUUGACAAUGGUCCCAAGUAAGCUUUCAGAUGUGUUAUUUUCCAGCGAGGAAGACCUCAGAUCAUUCAAGAUUGGUCACAAUGAUAGUUCAAAACUUGACUUGUGACCUUUCCACUUUGGUAGAUAUAGUGGAAAUUGACACCUGCUGCUGCUUCACCAUCACUUUUUUAAUGUCUUUGAUUUUUCAGGGAGAUGCAUUGUAAUCUUUUAAUGUUAAUAUUAGUUGAAGAAAAAAAAAAAAUCAAGAGAUGAGUAGCUACAAAAGGUGUGUAUGAAAAUCAUUAGGUUCCCGUCA